AGUGAACGCUGGCGGCGUGCUUAACACAUGCAAGUCGAACGGAGUAAAGUAGCUUGCUAUUUUACUUAGUGGCGCACGGGUGAGUAAUGUAUAGCUAACCUGCCCUUUAGUGGGGGACAACAGUUGGAAACGACUGCUAAUACCCCAUACUCCUUCUUAUCAUAAGGUAAGUUGGGAAAGAUUUAUUGCUAAAGGAUGGGGCUUUAUUGUAUCAGCUAGUUGGUGGGGUAAUGGCCUACCAAGGCGAUGACGCCUACCUGGUCUGAGAGGAUGAUCAGGCACACUGGAACUGAGACACGGUCCAGACUCCUACGGGAGGCAGCAGUGGGGAAUAUUGCACAAUGGGGGAAACCCUGAUGCAGCAACGCCGCGUGGAGGAUGACGCAUUUCGGUGUGUAAACUCCUUUUAUAAGGGAAGAUAAUGACGGUACCUUAUGAAUAAGCACCGGCUAACUCCGUGCCAGCAGCCGCGGUAAUACGGAGGGUGCAAGCGUUACUCGGAAUCACUGGGCGUAAAGGAUGCGUAGGCUGGAAAUCAAGUCGAAAGUGAAAUCCAACGGCUCAACCGUUGAACUGCUCCUGAAACUGGUCACCUAGAAUAUGGGAGAGGUAGAUGGAAUUGGUGGUGUAGGGGUAAAAUCCGUAGAUAUCACCAGGAAUACCGAUUGCGAAGGCGAUCUACUGGAACAUUAUUGACGCUGAGGCAUGAAAGCGUGGGGAGCAAACA
rnacentral:rRNA from 1 species